UGAGCAAUCUGCCCUUCUCUUCGGAAUAAGCGUUGGAAACGACGUCUAAUGCCGAAUACGACCUCCUUUCGCAUGAUCGGAGGUGGAAAGCUCCGGCGGUGAAGGAUGAGCUCGCGGCCUAUCAGCUUGUUGGUGAGGUAAUAGCUCACCAAGGCGAUGACGGGUAGCCGGCCUGAGAGGGUGACCGGCCACACUGGGACUGAGACACGGCCCAGACUCCUAGGGAGG
rnacentral:rRNA from 1 species